GGGAAGAGGACACACAGUUUUUGAAGACUUGGAACGAAUCAGAGGAGCCAGACAUCGAGGACACACCCAUUGGUAUUGUCACGAUGAUCAGAGAAAGAAGUGCAUCUCCCGUUCACUUCAGUCCCGUAUCCACAGCCAUUGUGGUGGAAGAUGAAUUCAUCAUGAGGGACAUUGCCACGUUUGCCGAUGCGUAUGUGUUACUGUUUGGGCUGGUGUAUGUGUUACAUCUCGACUACCCAAAGAAGCUUGUUGGCACCUUCACUUUCAUACAAAAGGUUCUAAUGGGGUUGGAUGACGGUGCACCCCUGAAACCUGCUCUGCUCUCUUUGAAAAAUGACCUGCUUACAGUGUAGACGUUACCUGUAUGAUACAUGUUUGUUGUUACAUUGAUUUAUGUUCCUUUUUGGUUAUUUAUUUGAUUUAUUUUUUAUUCAUGUUCAAUGACUUGAUAUCUGAUAUCCUGAUAUUUACUUUUUGGUUAUUUAUUUAAUUUAUUUUUUAUUCAUUUCAAAUUAUUUCCUUGAAUGGCCAUAGAUGUAAAAAAAACUUGAAGAUGCUGUUUUGAAAGGCCAUACCUUUACACUGAGCACAAGUUCCAAAUGCUUUUAUACAAACAUUUAAACAUUUGCAGUGAUUUAUACAUAGCCAUACAAAUCUGUUUUUAUAUAAUGUAUUUGUGGAUGUAUAUGUUGACGGUUCAUGAUAUGCAAGGUAUCCUUCAACCAAACGGGGUGUGUUUACAUUUUCAGAUUGUGCAUUUGUUGGCCUUGUUUUACUGGCCUGGUUUUACAAGUUGGAUGUCCAUGGUUAACAUACAGAUGUGUGUAUGUGGUGUUUGUAUACUUACAGCUCUGUUGCUGUGACCAAAGUGGUUUGGAGAAAAAGAAUAAAAUCUGAAUAAAAACAUUGAAAUAUUCUAA